CUUGGGCGCCCUCUGCGCGCAGGAUGGAUCCGCUAUCAAUGACCGAGUGACACUGGGUGCAACUACCUCAACUAUCAAAAUGGCGGUCAUGAGUGUGAUGAAAUGAAAACCAGCGAAAUAUAAUCGCCCUCUAAGUCUUCUCCGGUAAAUAUGUAACUUCCAAGCAGUCACCUGGUUUGGAAGUGGGACCAGAGGUGUUGGUGAAGCUGAAAAAAGCAAUCUGCAAACACUGUUGUGGAGAGAGGAAAUCACAGCCUACAAGAGAUUGGAUUGAAUAUGAGGUUGAAAAGUACAGUCAAGCAACAACAAAAUCAGUUCAAUGGUGAUAAAGGCUGACAGGGAAAUAAUAUUAAUCGCAUACUUUACAGAGCUGUACCUAGCCUAUGGACUCCACUGUGAGGUGAGAAAUGGCUUCUUUGUUUUGGCUUGGCUAGUCUUAUUCUUAUUUGAAUCCACCUGUCUAUGAGUGAUGUUACUACAUGUCAAUGUACACUGUUCUUAAGCUCAGUAAUGGUACACACUGCAAUAAGUACAAAAAAGUAAAAGGAUAACCAGUACCCAUUAUUUACUCAAAAGUAAACAAUGGACUAGCAUCCCAUCCAGGGGGGAGUAGAAAUACUGAACUAGUCGCUUCAUACUACAGAAACUGGGAUAAGAUCCAGCCUGAUGGGCCACUGGGCUUGUAUACAGACUUAAACUUUUGCCUCGCAUAUUAAGCACUGCAUUAACACUUUAGAAGAACUUAUUAUAAUUGGUAGCAGGGCACUUUUAUGACUGAAAUCGAAACAUGUUAUAUCCCAUGAACAAGUUACUGUGCCUUUCAAUAACACACAAACUCUGCUCAAUCAAAGGUUUUGUGUUUUACCGCUG